GAUGAACGCUGGCGGCGUGCCUAAUACAUGCAAGUCGAGCGAACGGACGAGAAGCUUGCUUCUCUGAUGUUAGCGGCGGACGGGUGAGUAACACGUGGAUAACCUACCUAUAAGACUGGGAUAACUUCGGGAAACCGGAGCUAAUACCGGAUAAUAUUUUGAACCGCAUGGUUCAAAAGUGAAAGACGGUCUUGCUGUCACUUAUAGAUGGAUCCGCGCUGCAUUAGCUAGUUGGUAAGGUAACGGCUUGCCAAGGCAACGAUGCAUAGCCGACCUGAGAGGGUGAUCGGCCACACUGGAACUGAGACACGGUCCAGACUCCUACGGGAGGCAGCAGUAGGGAAUCUUCCGCAAUGGGCGAAAGCCUGACGGAGCAACGCCGCGUGAGUGAUGAAGGUCUUCGGAUCGUAAAACUCUGUUAUUAGGGAAGAACAUAUGUGUAAGUAACUGUGCACAUCUUGACGGUACCUAAUCAGAAAGCCACGGCUAACUACGU
rnacentral:rRNA from 1 species